rnacentral:rRNA from 1 species
GCUGUGUGUAUUUCUGCGGUGCCCGUACCGCAAACCGACACAGGUAGGUAGGAAGAAGAUUCUAAGGCCAACGGGAGAAGGGUUGUUAAGGAACUCGGCAAAUUGACCCCGUAACUUCGGGAGAAGGGGUGCUGCAGCAAUGCAGCCGCAGAGAAUCGGCCCAAGCAACUGUUUACCAAAAACACAGGUUUGUGCUAAAUCGAAAGAUGACGUAUACGAGCUGACGCCUGCCCGGUGCUGGAAGGUUAAGAGGAGACGUGCAAGCAUUGAAUCGAAGCCCCAGUGAACGGCGGCCGUAACAAUAACGGUCCUAAGGUAGCGAAACUCCUUGUCAGGUAAGUUCUGACCCGCAUGAAAGGCGUAAUGAUUUGGGCACUGUCUCAACAGCCCGCCCGGCGAAAUUGUAGUACCGGUGAAGAUGCCGGUUACCCGCGACAAGACGGAAAGACCCCAUGGAGCUUUACUGUAGCCUAAUAUUGGGUUUCGAUGUUGCAUGCACAGGAUAGAUGGGACACUGGGAAGCAGGUGCUUUGGCGCUUGUGGAGUGGCCGUUGGGAUACCAUCCUUGCGAUAUUGGAAUUCUAACCUGCGCCUUUGAAUCAAGGCGGGGGACAUUGUUAGGUGGGCAGUUUGACUGGGGCGGUCGCCUCCUAAAGAGUAACGGAGGCGUUCAAAGGUUCGCUCAGCUUGAACGGAAAUCAAGCAAAAGAGUGCAAACGCAGAAGCGAGCCUAACUGCGAGACUGACGGGUCGAGCAGUAACGAAAGUUGGAGUUAGUGAUCCGGUGGUAUGUGAGUGGAAAUGCCAUCGCUCAACGGAUAAAAGUUACCCUGGGGAUAACAGGCUGAUCUCCCCCAAGAGUCCACAUCGACGGGGAGGUUUGGCACCUCGAUGUCGGCUCAUCGCAUCCUGGGGCUGUAUUCGGUCCCAAGGGUUUGGCUGUUCGCCAAUUAAAGCGGUACGCGAGCUGGGUUCAGAACGUCGUGAGACAGUUCGGUCCCUAUCUGUCGUGGGCGCAGGAUAUUUGAUGGGAGCUGUUCCUAGUACGAGAGGACCGGAGCGGACGUACCUCUGGCGCACCAGUUGUUCUGCCAAGAGCAUAGCUGGGCAACUAUGUACGGAUCGGAUAAACGCUGAAAGCAUCUAAGCGCGAAGCCGACCCAAAGAUAAGAUAUCCCAUUGUUUCAAACAAGUAAGACCCCUUGAAGACUACAAGGUUGAUAGGCACGAUGUGUAAGUGGAGCGAUCCAUUCAGCAAGCGUGUACUAAUAGGUCGAGGGCUUGACCAU